rnacentral:rRNA from 1 species
AGUGGGGAAUAUUGCACAAUGGGCGCAAGCCUGAUGCAGCCAUGCCGCGUGUAUGAAGAAGGCCUUCGGGUUGUAAAGUACUUUCAGCAGUGAGGAAGGAGGUAUCGUUAAUAGCGGUACUCUUUGACGUUAGCUGCAGAAGAAGCACCGGCUAACUCCGUGCCAGCAGCCGCGGUAAUACGGAGGGUGCGAGCGUUAAUCGGAAUUACUGGGCGUAAAGCGCAUGCAGGUGGUUUGUUAAGUCAGAUGUGAAAGCCCCGGGGCUCAACCUCGGAAUUGCAUUUGAAACUGGCAGGCUAGAGUACUGUAGAGGGGGGUAGAAUUUCAGGUGUAGCGGUGAAAUGCGUAGAGAUCUGAAGGAAUACCGGUGGCGAAGGCGGCCCCCUGGACAGAUACUGACACUCAGAUGCGAAAGCGUGGGGAGCAAACAGGAUUAGAUACCCUGGUAGUCCACGCCGUAAACGAUGUCUACUUGGAGGUUGUGGCCUUGAGCCGUGGCUUUCGGAGCUAACGCGUUAAGUAGACCGCCUGGGGAGUACGGUCGCAAGAUUAAAACUCAAAUGAAUUGACGGGGGCCCGCACAAGCGGUGGAGCAUGUGGUUUAAUUCGAUGCAACGCGAAGAACCUUACCUACUCUUGACAUCCAGAGAACUUAGCAGAGAUGCUUUGGUGCCUUCGGGAACUCUGAGACAGGUGCUGCAUGGCUGUCGUCAGCUCGUGUUGUGAAAUGUUGGGUUAAGUCCCGCAACGAGCGCAACCCUUAUCCUUGUUUGCCAGCGAGUAAUGUCGGGAACUCCAGGGAGACUGCCGGUGAUAAACCGGAGGAAGGUGGGGACGACGUCAAGUCAUCAUGGCCCUUACGAGUAGGGCUACACACGUGCUACAAUGGCGCAUACAGAGGGCGGCCAACUUGCGAAAGUGAGCGAAUCCCAAAAAGUGCGUCGUAGUCCGGAUUGGAGUCUGCAACUCGACUCCAUGAAGUCGGAAUCGCUAGUAAUCGUGAAUCAGAAUGUCACGGUGAAUACGUUCCCGGGCCUUGUACACACCGCCCGUCACACCAUGGGAGUGGGCUGCAAAAGAAGCAGGUAGUUUAACCUUCGGGAGGAC